AUUGAACGCUGGCGGCAUGCUUUACACAUGCAAGUCGAACGGCAGCGCGGGCUUCGGCCUGGCGGCGAGUGGCGAACGGGUGAGUAAUAUAUCGGAACGUACCCAGGAGUGGGGGAUAACGUAGCGAAAGUUACGCUAAUACCGCAUACGACCUAAGGGUGAAAGUGGGGGAUCGCAAGACCUCAUGCUCAUGGAGCGGCCGAUAUCUGAUUAGCUAGUUGGUGGGGUAAAGGCUCACCAAGGCAACGAUCAGUAGCUGGUCUGAGAGGACGACCAGCCACACUGGAACUGAGACACGGUCCAGACUCCUACGGGAGGCAGCAGUGGGGAAUUUUGGACAAUGGGGGCAACCCUGAUCCAGCAAUGCCGCGUGAGUGAAGAAGGCCUUCGGGUUGUAAAGCUCUUUUGUCAGGGAAGAAACGGUUGGGGCUAAUACCCUC
rnacentral:rRNA from 1 species